GAUGAACGCUGGCGGCGUGCCUAAUACAUGCAAGCCGAGCGAAUGGAUUAAGAGCUUGCUUUUAUGAAGUUAGCGGCGGACGUGUGCGUAACACGUGGGUAACCUGCCCAUAAGACUGGGAUAACUCCGGGACACCGGGGCUAAUACCGGAUAACAUUUUGAACCGCAUGGUUAGAAAUUGAAAGGCGGCUUCGGAUGUCACUUAUGGAUGGACCCGCGUCGCAUUAGCUAGUUGGUGAGGUAACGGCUCACCAAGGCAACGAUGCGUAGCCGACCUGAGGGGGUGAUCGGCCACACUGGGACUGAGACACGGCCCAGACUCCGACGGGAGGCAGCAGUAGGGAAUCUUCCGCAAUGGACGAAAGUCUGACGGAGCAACGCCGCGUGAGUGAUGAAGGCUUUCGGGUCGUAAAACUCUGUUGUUAGGGAAGAACAAGUGCUAGUUGAAUAAGCUGGCACCUUGACGGUACCUAACCAGAAAGCCACGGCUAACUACGUGCCAGCCGCCGCGGUAA
rnacentral:rRNA from 1 species